rnacentral:rRNA from 1 species
UAGGGAAUCUUCGGCAAUGGGGGGAACCCUGACCGAGCAACGCCGCGUGAGUGAAGAAGGUUUUCGGAUCGUAAAGCUCUGUUGUUAAGGAAGAACGAGUGUGAGAAUGGAAAGUUCAUGCUGUGACGGUACUUAACCAGAAAGGGACGGCUAAAUACGUGCCAGCAGCCGCGGUAAUACGUAUGGGGCGAGCGUUGUCCGGAAUUAUUGGGCGUAAAGGGUACGUAGGCGGUCUAUUAAGUCAGGUGUGAAAGCGUGAGGCUUAACCUCAUUAAGCACUUGAAACUGCUAGACUUGAGUGAAGGAGAGGAAAGUGGAAUUCCUAGUGUAGCGGUGAAAUGCGUAGAUAUUAGGAGGAAUACCGGUGGCGAAGGCGACUUUCUGGACUUUUACUGACGCUCAGGUACGAAAGCGUGGGGAGCAAACAGG